GCACCUGUAGCUCAGUUGGUAGCAGCACGUGGCUGAUAACCGCGAGGUCGCAGGUUCGAUUCCUGCCGGGUGCA
rnacentral:tRNA from 1 species